UUAGCUUGCUAAAGGAUUUCUUGUAAUACUUAGUGGCGGACGGGUGAGUAACGCGUGAGCAACCUGCCUUUCAGAGGGGGGACAACAGUUGGAAACGACUGCUAAUACCGCAUAACAUGUGACUGUGGCAUCACAGACACAUCAAAGAUUUAUCGCUGAAAGAUGGCCUCGCGUCUGAUUAGCUAGUUGGUGAGGUAACGGCCCACCAAGGCGACGAUCAGUAGCCGGACUGAGAGGUUGACCGGCCACAUUGGGACUGAGAUACGGCCCAGACUCCUACGGGAGGCAGCAGUGGGGAAUAUUGGGCAAUGGGCGCAAGCCUGACCCAGCAACGCCGCGUGAAGGAAGAAGGCCUUCGGGUUGUAAACUUCUUUUACCAGGGACGAAGAACGUGACGGUACCUGGAGAAAAGCAACGGCUAACUACGUG
rnacentral:rRNA from 1 species